UUAAUAACUUCGUUGAUGAUAUUAUCAUCCUUGUCCAUGAUGGUACGUUCAAAGAACCAAUCCAGAGAAUUAUGGACUUCGGAAUAUUCCAACCUUGAACGAAAUUGAGCGACGCAACUCUUAUCUGAAGAUAAGUUCCAUUUUAAAGAAACAGAUACCAUUGAAGAUAGAAGAUGAAUAUUACCACUAGUCAAAUACACCAAACUCCUUGAACUUCUAGUCAAUGUCGAGAGAGUGUACACAAGAAAUUUAAUUUCAGUUUAAACAAGUUGAUGCCAAUUCAUUCCCAUCGAAACGGUGUAAAUGAAAAUAAAUACACUAGCAUUUGGCCACUUAAGUAAAAUAAAUUUAUGGGCAGAUGUUUUAAAUUUGUGAAUGUAAAUUAAAAUUGUAGCACAAAUAUUUUUAAACUCGAAAUUAUGUAUGAUGGAUCGAAACCACUUGUAAUAAAAGCUUUUUUUUUAAAGCAAAAUUGAAUAAAAUACUCAUUAUCGUUC